AAGUACCCAAAAGGAUCACGUUAUUUCCGACACUUCGAUAUAAGGGAAACGGAAGUUGCUUAUUUGUGUGAAUGCCGGGCAUUGCUUGGAAUCCUAAGAUUAAGCACAUGUUACCCACCUGAUAAACCAGGGAAUAUAUCACCUUUUGGGACUCU
rnacentral:other from 1 species